GAAUGUAAGUUUUAAUGAAUAAAGAGCAUGUGUGGCGCGUAUUGAUUCUACUCACGUAAACGUAAAAUCUCCUAAUGAAAACGGGGAAAAUUCAAGCUGUUAUUUAGUAUAAAUCAUAUAGAUUGCCUAGAAAUCUUCAACUUCGACUGUAGCCAUUAUAUUUUGAUCUUCAUACAACGUUUCAUCUAGCGGCCAUGUCCGAAGUACAAGACAACCAUUUCUGUAGCAAUUGAAGCUUUUUCCAACUUGAUAUCAUGUAAUUCCGUUAUCUCUUUUGCUAAUGUACUUAUAUCCAAUUUACCUCCUUCAGUAUAAUUUCGUGAUGAUACGAUGUAUUGCCGUCAUGUCUUCAAAAACUUUCGUGACGAGGAAUCCUCUCUUUUUGGAGGUGGCAAUGUUCGUCCUUACUUCCCGGACAAGAACCCUUAUGUUUCCUCCUUUCACUAUUUUUUUUCCUGACAAUAAAUGUUGGGUUAAGAUGGACGAAGCCAAUUAUUGGCAAGAAAUAUUUAUAAAAAGCAAAAAGACUGCGGCCAUAUGUUAAGAUCGUUGAGCUGUUCAAAGUGAUGUGAGAAAAGUGUUGUGGACUUUGUCUGAAAAAAGUAUGAUUUAUAGAAAUACCGUGACUUAAAAAGAUAAACUCGCUUUUCUCAUAAAGCAACUUAGUUCUCCGAGGUGUCGCACUUUUUUCGCUAAAGAGAUCGAGAAAGCCCCCAUAUAAUUUGAAAACGCCAGAGGAACUUUUAACACUAUUAAGUCUGUGAUAUCUGAAAAUUAGAUAUAUUAUAAGCCUCACAAACAUCACAUGGUACAGUAGGAAUCAUAUUAAAAUGUACUUUAUCAUAACCGUGGCCACUUAUGACUCUAUAAAGAAUGUUGGUUUCCUAGGAAUUAAAGCCAGCCCCUUAUAGGUUAAAUGCGGGAUUUAUUUUAUAGAAAAGGCGAUUGGAUUUGGCGCCCGCAAUCCCUUUAAUUCAUCAUUUAGUUGCUGGAAGAAUCGCCCCUAUUGCUUCAUUGGGAGUAUAUUUUUUUAUUGAACGAAAAUGUACCAUCAAAUUGAGCCUUCCUUGAAAACGAGUUUUUCAUUUACAAAAAAGUCCCAGCUAUCAGGUGUCCAAACAAGGUGACAGUCAUACACAUGAGAUUCAUAUGAUGUUCUGUUCGUAACAAAUACAUACUGAUUAUUUGCAUAUCAUUUAUUUAUUAGAAGCAGAGAUGGCUUACCAUCAGAAAAAACGAUACAUUUUUUGUGGCCUUCCAUUGUAGCUACAUUAACGGCAUGUCUGAUGGCAAGCAAUUCAAUAAAAGUCGAGAAAGUCUCUCCGUGAUUCCGAUUUUGUACGCUUUUUUAAAUAUACGCUUCACUGCCGGGAAGUUAGAUCCCUUAUGUCUAGCGGAAACGUCAGUUGCACAUAUAUCAUAGAUGUUGUUGUAAUAAAGAAAAAGAUUUUCUUGACAAAAGAACCUCGUAUUCUUCCUCUAUAGAUCCUCAUUGCCUCUUAGUAGAGAUCGGUUCAAGGAUGUUCUGAAAGACACUAUAUUUUUUAGUAACAAAAUUCCAGAGACGGAUUGAAUUUAUCUCGUCAAAAAUAUGACGGAGUUCUUGAUAACAAAGAUGUAGCUGAAA